GCGUUUGUAGUCUAAUGGUUAGGAUUAUUGCCUUCCAAGCUAUAGACUCGGGUUCCACUCUCGGCAAAUGCA
rnacentral:tRNA from 1 species